rnacentral:rRNA from 1 species
UACGGAGGAUGCAAGCGUUAUCCGGAAUGAUUGGGCGUAAAGCGUCCGCAGGUGGCAAUGUAAGUCUGCUGUCAAAGCGUCUGGCUCAACCAGAUAAAGGCAGUGGAAACUACAUAGCUAGAGUAAGGUAGGGGUAGAGGGAAUUCCUGGUGUAGCGGUGAAAUGCGUAGAGAUCAGGAAGAACACCGGUGGCGAAAGCGGCUAACUGGUCCAGCACUGACGCUGAGGUGCGAAAGCGUGGGGAGCAAACAGG